AUCCCUGUAGGACAAUAGGCAGCGCAUUGGACUUCCAAUCCAAAUGUCGUGGAUUCGAAUCACACCUGGGAUU